AAUUUAUCUUUCGUAACAAAUUCCAAUUCCGGUUAACGGUAGAUCGAAGCUUGUGUUCCCUCCUAUCCUCCCUCAUAUUUAGGGUUUUUUCAAACCCAAAAUUCCCGAUUAUUGUAUACCCGAACUUUCCCCAGGGAUUAGCAACUCUUAUGUCUGCAACUUCGUCCAUGUCGAUCUCUCAGGAAUUAUACCCAUCCCAAGACGACCUUCUUUACGAAGAAGAGCUUCUCCGAAACCCCUUUAGCCUCAAGCUAUGGUGGCGUUACCUCAUCGCUCGAUCCGAAUCUCCAUUCAAGAAGCGUUUUAUAAUCUACGAGCGAGCACUCAAGGCCCUUCCUGGGAGCUACAAGCUUUGGAACGCUUACCUUCGCGAACGCCUCGAGCUUGUUCGCAAUUUACCCAUCACUCACUUCCAGUAUGAAACCCUCAACAACACUUUUGAAAGAGCCCUGGUUACUAUGCACAAAAUGCCUAAAAUUUGGACUAUGUACUUGCAAACUUUGACGGAGCAGAAGUUGGUCACUCGGACUCGCCGGACCUUCGACAGAGCUCUGUGUGCUCUUCCGGUGACGCAGCACGACCGCAUUUGGGACCCGUACCUGAAGUUCGUGAGCCAAACCGGUAUCCCAAUUGAGACCUCGCUUCGGGUUUAUCGCAGGUAUUUGAAAUAUGACCCUACCCAUAUUGAAGAUUUCAUUGAGUUCUUGAUAAAUUCUAGUCUUUGGCAAGAGGCCGCCGAGAGGCUGGCUUCAGUUUUGAAUGAUGAUCAGUUUUAUUCGAUAAAGGGGAAAACGAAACAUAGGCUGUGGCUGGAAUUGUGUGAUUUGCUUACUAAGCAUGCUACGGAGGUGUCAGGCCUCAAUGUAGAUGCUAUUAUUAGAGGUGGGAUUAGGAAAUUUACAGACGAGGUGGGACGGUUAUGGACCUCACUGGCGGACUAUUACAUUAGGAGGAAUUUGCACGAGAAAGCUAGGGAUAUAUUUGAGGAGGGUAUGACUACUGUGGUAACGGUAAGAGAUUUUAGUGUAAUUUUUGAUUCUUAUGCUGGGUUUGAAGAUAGUAUGCUUGUCCAUAAGAUGGAGACAGUGGAUUUGAGUGAUGAAGAGGAGGAAGAAGAAAAGGGAGUAGAAGAGGAUGGAAAUGAGGAGGAAGAAGAUCUUCGAUUGGAUGUUAACUUGUCUUUGGCUGAGUUUGAGAAGAAAAUGCUUAAUGGGUUUUGGUUACAUGAUGAUAAGGAUGUAGAUUUGAGGUUGGCUCGAUUGGAGCAUCUUAUGGAUAGAAGACCUAUACUGGCUAAUAGUGUUCUUUUACGACAAAAUCCCCAUAAUGUAGAGCAGUGGCACCGAAGAGUGAAGCUCUUUGAGGGCAAUCCCACGAAGCAGAUACUUACUUACACAGAGGCGGUGAGGACAGUUGAUCCAAUGAAAGCGGUGGGGAAGCCCCAUACGUUGUGGGUUGCGUUUGCUAAGUUGUACGAGAAUCACAAAGAUAUUGCAAAUGCAAGAGUGAUUUUUGAUAAAGCAGUUCAGGUGAACUACAAGACAGUGGAUAAUUUGGCUAGUCUUUGGUGUGAGUGGGCAGAAAUGGAAUUGAGGCAUAAGAAUUUCAAAGGAGCACUGGAACUAAUGAGGCGGGCCACCGCAGAGCCAUCCGUUGAGGUGAAACGCAGAGUGGCGGCUGAUGGGAACCAACCGGUUCAGAUGAAGCUGCAUAAGUCCUUAAGAAUUUGGACUUUUUACGUGGAUUUAGAGGAGAGCCUGGGUAAAUUGGAGUCCACCCGGGCUGUUUAUGAGAGGAUCCUGGAUUUGAAGAUAGCCACGCCACAAAUCAUAAUCAAUUAUGCAUUGCUUCUGGAGGAGCAUAAAUACUUUGAAGAUGCUUUCAAGGUGUAUGAAAAAGGUACCAAAAUAUUUAAGUACCCACAUGUCAAAGACAUAUGGGUUACAUAUCUCUCUAAAUUUGUAAAGAGAUAUGGGAAGAAAGAACUGGAACGUGCAAGACAGCUAUUUGAGGAUGCUGUUCAAGCGGCGCCUGCUGAUGCAAAGAAACCUCUGUAUCUUCAAUUUGCGAAGCUGGAGGAGGAUUAUGGUCUAGCAAAGCGCGCUAUGAAGGUCUAUGAUGAAGCAACUAAGGCUGUUCCAAACCAUGAGAAAUUGAGCAUGUAUGAAAUCUACAUUGCCCGUGCUGCGGAGAUAUUUGGCAUCCCCAAAACAAGGGAGAUAUAUGAGCAAGCAAUAGAAUCCGGUCUUCCAGACAAAGAUGUGAAGACAAUGUGCUUGAAGUAUGCUGAGCUUGAGAAGAGCUUAGGAGAAAUUGAUCGUGCUCGGGGGGUAUAUAUAUUUGCAUCACAGUUUUCGGAUCCACGAUCUGAUGUAGAUUUCUGGAACAAAUGGCAUGAGUUUGAGGUGCAACAUGGAAAUGAAGAUACCUUCCGAGAGAUGCUUCGAAUUAAGCGAAGUGUUUCUGCAAGCUAUAGCCAGACACAUUUUAUACUACCCGAGUAUAUGAUGCAAAAGGAUCAGAGGUUGAACAUGGAUGAGGCAAAAGACAAGUUGAAACAGGCUGGAGUUCCUGAAGAUGAAAUGGCUGCUUUAGAGAGGCAGUUGGCACCAGUGGCUAACGGUACUACCACCAAAGAUGGUAACAGAAAAGUGGGCUUUGUGAGUGCUGGAGUAGAAUCACAGACGGACGGAGGGAUCAAAGUUGCUGCAAAUCAUGAAGACAUUGAGCUACCCGAUGCAAGUGAUUCAGAAGAUGAUGAAGGGGUUGAAAUUGCACAAAAGGAGGUCCCAUCUGCUGUUUUUGGAGAGUUGGCUAACAAGAGAAAGGAGGCUGAAAAAGAUGAGGGCGGAGAUGGUGCUGCUGUGACCAAGGACGGUGACAGCCACAUUGGCGCCCUUGAGAGAAUAAAAAGGCUAAAACGAGGCGGUUGAUUUAAGAACAUUUUGAUGCAUAUGUCGACUAACUGUUGAGCCCCCUGUAUUCUGAUUUUGAAAGAGGUUCAACGGAAUGAAGUUACUACAUUUCCAUAAGGGUUAAUUUCGAUUAGUACCCUGAACUCUCACCCUUAAGACAUGUUUGCUCUUGCACUCUCAAUUUUAAUGAUUACAUAUCUUAAGCUUUUCAAUUAUUUACAAUCUGAUUCCGGCGUUAACUUUGACAUCAAAAUUUCCGUUAAUUGCUUGCAUGGCAGGCAUGGGUCUCACCUAUUCACAUAUUUCGAUGUCAGUCGAAGAGUAUUUUCAGGUAAUUGGCAUCUUCUCGUCCAUAAAGAACACAUUGCAUGCAUUAAUCCCAAAUUGUUUUUUGACUCCCUUCAACUGACAUUGAAAUAAGUGAAUAGGUGAGACCCAAACUUGUCACGCAAGCAAUUAACAAAAAUUUUGACGAUGAAGUUGACGCUGGAACCAUAUUGCACAAAAUUGAAAAGUUUAGGGUAUGCAAUCUUUAAAAUUAAGAAUGCAGGAGCAAAUGUGCCUUAAAGGUAAGAAUUCAAGGUACUAAAUUGAAAUUAACUCUUUCCACUAAGAUAAAGGCUUAAUUACACCAAUGUUCCCUGAAACUUUAGUCAAAUUUCACUUUGCUUCCCCGAACUCAAAAU